rnacentral:rRNA from 1 species
UAUUAUGAGAGUUUGAUCCUGGCUCAGGACGAACGCUGGCGGCGUGCCUAAUACAUGCAAGUCGAACGCUUCUUUCCUCCCGAGUGCUUGCACUCAAUUGGAAAGAGGAGUGGCGGACGGGUGAGUAACACGUGGGUAACCUACCCAUCAGAGGGGGAUAACACUUGGAAACAGGUGCUAAUACCGCAUAACAGUUUAUGCCGCAUGGCAUAAGAGUGAAA